AGCGAACGCUGGCGGCGUGCUUAACACAUGCAAGUCGAACGUGAAAGUAGCAAUAUGAGUAAAGUGGCGUACGGGUGAGUAACACGUGGGUAAUCUACCUUAGAGUCUGGAAUAACGUGCCGAAAGGCGCGCUAAUACUGGAUAGUUCAACGAACAUUAUAACGAUGUUUUUUGGGAAAGGGAGCUCGUAAGAGCCUUUGCUUUAAGAUGAGCCCGCGUCUGAUUAGCUAGUUGGUAAGGUAACGGCUUUACCAAGGCGACGAUCAGUAGCUGGUCUGAGAGGAUGAUCAGCCACACUGGAACUGAAACACGGUCCAGACUCCUACGGAGGCAGCAGUGGGAAUCUUGCGCAAUGGACGAAAAGUCUGACGCAGCCACGCCGCGUGAGUGAAGAA
rnacentral:rRNA from 1 species